CAGUAGCCGCGGGAAUACAGAGGGCGCGAGCGUUACCCGGAUUUACUGGGCGUAAAGGGCGUGUAGGAGGCCUGGGGCGUCCCACGUGAGAGGCCACGGCUCAACCGUGGAGGAGCGUGGGAUACGCUCAGGCUAGAGGGUGGGAGAGGGUGGUGGAAUUCCCGGAGUAGCGGUGAGAUGCGCAGAUACCGGGAGGAACGCCGAUGGCGAAGGCAGCCACCUGGUCCACUUCUGACGCUGAGGCGCGAAAGCGUGGGGAGCAAAUCGGAUUAGAUACCCCAGUAGUCCCUGUCCUCUUAUA
rnacentral:rRNA from 1 species